rnacentral:rRNA from 1 species
GAUGAACGCUGGCGGCGUGCCUAAUACAUGCAAGUCGAGCGAAUGGAUUAAGAGCUUGCUCUUAUGAAGUUAGCGGCGGACGGGUGAGUAACACGUGGGUAACCUGCCCAUAAGACUGGGAUAACUCCGGGAAACCGGGGCUAAUACCGGAUAACAUUUUGAACCGCAUGGUUCGGACUUGAAAGGCGGCUUCGGCUGUCACUUAUGGAUGGACCCGCGUCGCAUUAGCUAGUUGGUGAGGUAACGGCUCACCAAGGCAACGAUGCGUAGCCGACCUGAGAGGGUGAUCGGCCACACUGGGACUGGGACACGGCCCAGACUCCUACGGGAGGCAGCAGUAGGGAAUCUUCCGCAAUGGACGAAAGUCUGACGGCGCAACGCCGCGUGAGUGAUGAAGGCUUUCGGGUCGUAAAACUCUGUUGUUAGGGAAGAACAAGUGCUAGUUGAAUAAGCUGGCACCUUGACGGUACCUAACCAGAAAGCCACGGCUAACUACGUGCCAGCCGCCGCGGUAA